rnacentral:tRNA from 1 species
GGAGAUGUAGCUCAGUGGUGGAGUACUUACCUAAUGUGUGAAAGGCCCUGGGUUCAAUCGCCAGCACCACCA